GCUGGGAUAGCUCGGUCAGUAAAGAGCAUGGACUCCUUAACCUCAGGGUUGUGGGUUCAAGCCCCAUGUCGGGCA